GGCCCCUUAGCUCAACUGGAUAGAGCAACAGACUUCUAAUCUGUAGGUUACUGGUUCAAGUCCAGUAGGGGUCGCCA
rnacentral:tRNA from 1 species